AUACUUACUUGACAGGAGAGGCAACGUGAUCACGAAGGUGGUUCAUCCAGCGUGAGGUGUGCCCAUUGCACUGAGGGUCGUGUUGACCCCUGCGAGUUCUCCAAAUGCAGCAAUUUCGACUGCAUAGUUUGUAAGAACGGGGAAGUGCGUCCGUGCUCUCCCUGG